CCUACGGGGGGCAGCAGUGGGGGAUCUUGGACAAUGGGGGGAACCCUGAUCCAGCGACGCCGCGUGAGUGAAGAAGUAUCUCGGUGUGUAAAGCUCUAUCAGCAGGGAAGAAGAAAUGACGGUACCUGAGUAAGAAGCCCCGGCUAACUACGUGCCAGCAGCCGCGGUAAUACGUAGGGGGCAAGCGUUAUCCGGAAUUAUUGGGUGUAAAGGGAGCGUAGACGGGGUGUUAAGUCUGGAGUGAAAGGUGGGGGCUCAACCCCCGGACUGCAUUGGAAACUAUGUGACUGGAGUGCAGGUGAGGUGGGCGGAAUUCGUGGUGUAGCGGUGAAAUGCGUAGAUAUCACGAGGAACCCCAGUGGCGAAGGCAGCUUACUGGACUGUAACUGACAUUGAUGCUCGAAAGUGUGGGGAGCAAACAGGAUUAGAUACCCUAGUAGUC
rnacentral:rRNA from 1 species